rnacentral:rRNA from 1 species
UACGUAGGGUGCAAGCGUUGUCCGGAAUUAUUGGGCGUAAAGGGCUCGUAGGCGGUCCAUCGCGUCGGGAGUGAAAAGCUGGGGCUCAACCCCAGUCCUGCUUCCGAUACGGGUGGACUAGAGGUAUGCAGGGGAGAACGGAAUUCCUGGUGUAGCGGUGAAAUGCGCAGAUAUCAGGAGGAACACCGGUGGCGAAGGCAGCUCGCUGGGACGGUACUGACGCUGAGACGCGAAAGCGUGGGGAGCAAACAGG